AUGCGACCUUCUUCUACAAGUUAUACACGGCGGCACUCGGUGCUUCAACUCUUCUUCUCUGAUCGAAAUCAACAAAACACUGCUGCUCUUCAUCUCAUAUUUCAUCCCCAACUCGCGUUCUCCUCACCUCAUGAGAAGAAAUUGAAGAUACGAAGCUGUGAAGUGUUGAACAGAUGCGGAUUCUUGGUGCAAAUUGAAGAUGAAGUUUUUUUGCAGGAGAAUUGGUGA